rnacentral:rRNA from 1 species
GUGGAGCCAACCUUGAAAUACCACCCUUUAAUGUUUGAUGUUCUAACGUUGCCCCGUUAUCCGGGGUGCGGACAGUGUCUGGUGGGUAGUUUGACUGGGGCGGUCUCCUCCCAAAGAGUAACGGAGGAGCACGAAGGUUGGCUAAGCAUGGUCGGACAUCAUGCGGUUAGUGCAAAGGCAUAAGCCAGCUUGACUGCGAGAGUGACGGCUCGAGCAGGUACGAAAGUAGGUCUUAGUGAUCCGGUGGUUCUGAAUGGAAGGGCCAUCGCUCAACGGAUAAAAGGUACUCCGGGGAUAACAGGCUGAUACCGCCCAAGAGUUCAUAUCGACGGCGGUGUUUGGCACCUCGAUGUCGGCUCAUCACAUCCUGGGGCUGAAGUAGGUCCCAAGGGUACGGCUGUUCGCCGUUUAAAGUGGUACGCGAGCUGGGUUUAGAACGUCGUGAGACAGUUCGGUCCCUAUCUGCCGUGGGCGUUGGAAGAUUGAAAGGGGCUGCUCCUAGUACGAGAGGACCGGAGUGGACGCACCACUGGUGUUCGGGUUGUCAUGCCAAUGGCAUUGCCCGGUAGCUAAGUGCGGAAGAGAUAACCGCUGAAAGCAUCUAAGCGGGAAACUUGCCUUGA